rnacentral:rRNA from 1 species
UACGUAGGGUGCAAGCGUUGUCCGGAAUUAUUGGGCGUAAAGAGCUCGUAGGCGGUUUGUUGCGUCGGCUGUGAAAUCCCGAGGCUCAACCUCGGGUCUGCAGUCGAUACGAGCAAACUAGAGUGUUGCAGGGGAGACUGGAAUUCCUGGUGUAGCGGUGAAAUGCGCAGACUAUCAGGAGGAACACCGGUGGCGAAGGCGGGUCUCUGGGCAAACAACUGACGCUGAGGAGCGAAAAGCGUGGGGAGCGAACAGG